AGUCUGGGAGGAUCUUCUGUCCAUUCAGAUUCCACAGCUCUGAUUCCUCUUCUGUGUGAUACUACUUCUGCCUGUUCACUCACAGAACAGAACAAGGGCUUCCUUUUUUAUCUUGAGAGCUUCCCUGAGGAAAUGUAAUGGUGGCAUCUCCUUUUCUGGUAAAGGCAGUUGCUCAGGAAAGAGUACACUUUCAGCUCCAUGGAAAAAAGUGAUAAUGGUUGCCUGUGAUUCCAGCAGAUACUUUGUGGUACAGCAUAGGCAUCAAUGCCUUGGUGCCCCGGAUAAGGGUGAAGAACCUGGCAAACAGAGGAUGAUGGAGAUGCCAUGCCAGGUUCUGGGCUUUGGAGGACUCUUUCCAGCCCAAGAGUCAGCAGGAGCUCUGAGAUGCUGGGUGAAGACAUCUUCCUUUGUUUCUCAUCCAGAGUCUGUUCUGUGGGAUGGCUUCCAUUCUUCCCAGCUGGACCAAGGCACGAUUCAUACCACGUUGUCUCUUUCAUCUUGUCAUUCUUCAUGGCGAAGGAGGAAUUGCCCAGAUAGGCAUGCAAGCCAAAGAAAGACACAAUUUAUUUGUAGUCAGUGAAAGACUUGAGCAACUUUUAAGAGGAUGAAGGCUGGAUCUCAGUAAAAUGUCAGGAAGCCCUGCGCAGGGAGCUGAGCUAAUGGCAGGAACAGACUUCUAACUUCUGUACUAAAGAGGACAGCCUUGGCAUCUGAAGCUUGCGUGUGCUGCAACAAAAUGCUGAAAAGCAACCAAACUGAUGAGAUGACUGGCAAGUUACCCUGCAACCCUGAUAAUCAUGUGGAACGAAGCUGGGAGACCAGGGUUUCCAACCAUCCAACCAACCAGGACAUUUUAAUCGCUGCAGACAGCGCUGCUCCUUAGAUCCACAAAGGCAAGGUAAGGAAUGGAGAUCCCCUGCCACCAGAUGCAAAAAAUCUCUUUACACGUAGGACAUGAAAGAAGAAAUAUAUGAAUUUUUAAUGAUAUGUACAAAGGUUACCAAAUGUCUAGCAUGUAUUCUGCAACUACUAAAGUGUGUUGAACAAAAUGACGCCUCUCUCCUAUUUGUACGUUUUGUAAAA